UACGGAGGGGGCUAGCGUUGUUCGGAAUUACUGGGCGUAAAGCGCACGUAGGCGGCUUUGUAAGUUAGAGGUGAAAGCCCGGGGCUCAACUCCGGAAUUGCCUUUAAGACUGCAUCGCUAGAAUUGUGGAGAGGUAAGUGGAAUUCCGAGUGUAGAGGUGAAAUUCGUAGAUAUUCGGAAGAACACCAGUGGCGAAGGCGACUUACUGGACACAUAUUGACACUGAGGCGCGACAGCGUGGGGAGCAAACAGG
rnacentral:rRNA from 1 species